rnacentral:rRNA from 1 species
GAUGAACGCUGGCGGCGUGCAUAACACAUUCAAGUCGAACGAGGUAGCAAUACCUAGUGGCGGACGGGUGAGUAACGCGUGAGCAACCUGCCCUUGUGUGGGGGAUACCGUCUGGAAACGGACGUUAAUACCGCAUAAUGUAGUGAGAUCGCAUGGUCUUAUUACCAAAGAUUUAUUGCGCAAGGAUGGGCUCGCGUUGGAUUAGAUAGUUGGUGAGGUAACGGCCCACCAAGUCUGCGAUCCAUAGCCGGACUGAGAGGUUGAACGGCCACAUUGGAACUGAGAUACGGUCCAGACUCCUACGGGAGGCAGCAGUGGGGAAUAUUGGGCAAUGGGCGAAAGCCUGACCCAGCGACGCCGCGUGAAGGAAGAAGGUCUUCGGAUUGUAAACUUCUUUUAUUAGGGACGAACAGAUGACGGUACCUAAUGAAUAAAGCCACGGCUAACUACGUG